GAUGAACGCUGGCGGCGUGCCUAAUACAUGCAAGUCGAGCGAACGGACGAGAAGCUUGCUUCUCUGAUGUUAGCGGCGGACGGGUGAGUAACACGUGGAUAACCUACCUAUAAGACUGGGAUAACUUCGGGAAACCGGAGCUAAUACCGGAUAAUAUUUUGAACCGCAUGGUUCAAAAGUGAAAGACGGUCUUGCUGUCACUUAUAGAUGGAUCCGCGCUGCAUUAGCUAGUUGGUAAGGUAACGGCUUACCAAGGCAACGAUGCAUAGCCGACCUGAGAGGGUGAUCGGCCACACUGGAACUGAGACACGGUCCAGACUCCUACGGGAGGCAGCAGUAGGGAAUCUUCCGCAAAGGGCGAAAGCCUGACGGAGCAACGCCGCGUGAGUGAUGAAGGUCUUCGGAUCGUAAAACUCUGUUAUUAGGGAAGAACAUAUGUGUAAGUAAUUGUGCACAUCUUGACGGUACCUAAUCAGAAAGCCACGGCUAACUACGUG
rnacentral:rRNA from 1 species